rnacentral:rRNA from 1 species
GAGUUUGAUCUUGGCUCAGAUUGAACGCUGGCGGCAGGCCUAACACAUGCAAGUCGAGCGGAUGACGGGAGCUUGCUCCUUGAUUCAGCGGCGGACGGGUGAGUAAUGCCUAGGAAUCUGCCUGGUAGUGGGGGACAACGUUUCGAAAGGAACGCUAAUACCGCAUACGUCCUACGGGAGAAAGCAGGGGACCUUCGGGCCUUGCGCUAUCGGAUGAGCCUAGGUCGGAUUAGCUAGUUGGUGGGGUAAUGGCUCACCAAGGCGACGAUCCGUAACUGGUCUGAGAGGAUGAUCAGUCACACUGGAACUGAGACACGGUCCAGACUCCUACGGGAGGCAGCAGUGGGGAAUAUUGGACAAUGGGCGAAAGCCUGAUCCAGCCAUGCCGCGUGUGUGAAGAAGGUCUUCGGAUUGUAAAGCACUUUAAGUUGGGAGGAAGGGCAGUAAGUUAAUACCUUGCUGUUUUGACGUUACCGACAGAAUAAGCACCGGCUAACUCUGUGACAGCCGCCGCCGU